UCCAAAGGGAAGAAUCCUCAAAAUAGGCAAAUCCGACAGCAGAAUAACAGAAUAAGAGAGUUGGGAGGGACCUCGGAGGUCUUCCAGUCCAACCCCCUCAGGCAGGAAACCCUCCACCAUUUCAGACAAGUGGUUGUCCAAUCUCUUCUUAAAAACUUCAAGUGUUGGAGCAUUCACAGCUUCUGAAGGCAAGCUGCCGGACUGCAAAUAACUCAAAUGAAGAAAGAAGAAAAAGGAGCUUAUCAAGCGGACGACAGGCAGAAGAGCCUCCUUUUGAAAUUUUUUCUUUAAAAAAACACAUUUUUUUA